rnacentral:lncRNA from 1 species
GGAACUCAUGGACCAAGUAUGUGGGCUGCUACUGUGCCCUGGCAGCUUCCACACUCAGUGAACCUUCACAAACUCCCUUCUACCAUCGGACAGCAGCUCCUGAUCUCUCCUAGCCAUGUGGGGGAGUUGGAGAUAAACCACUUACGACCACAACGCUGGAAUGAAGGCUUUGGAGUUCGGGAUGUGGUUUAUAAGGAGAGAAGUCACUCCUGCCUUAUUCACCGACACGUCCCUAGACCCUGGCUGAUGAUGGAAUGAAUGAGUGACCCACACAGGCAC